GAUGAAGAACGUAGCGAAACGCGAUAAGUAAUGUGAAUUGCAGAAUUUAGUGAAUCAUCGAAUCUUUGAACGCACAUUGCGCCCGCCAGUAUUCUGGCGGGCAUGCCUGUUCGAGCGUCAUUUCAACCCUCAAGCCCAGCUUGGUGUUGGGGAUCGGCACAGGCGCCCUCGGGCGCCCGCCGUCCCCUAAAUCUAGUGGCGGUCCCGCUGCAGCCUCCUCUGCGUAGUAGUUUUCUCCUCGCAAGGGCAGCUCGGUGGCGACCUCGCCGUAAAACCCCCAACUUCUGAAAGGUUGACCUCGAAUCAGGUAGGAAUACCCGCUGAACUUAAGCAUAUCAAUAAGCGGAGGA
rnacentral:misc_RNA from 1 species